UACGGGGGGGGCAAGCGUUGUUCGGAAUUACUGGGCGUAAAGGGCUCGUAGGCGGCCAACUAAGUCCGACGUGAAAUCCCCAGGCUUAACCUGGGAACUGCGUCGGAUACUGGAUGGCUUGAAUUCGGGAGAGGGAUGCAGAAUUCCAGGUGUAGCGGUGAAAUGCGUAGAUAUCUGGAGGAACACCGGUGGCGAAGGCGGCAUCCUGGACCGAUACUGACGCUGAGGAGCGAAAGCCAGGGGAGCAAACGGG
rnacentral:rRNA from 1 species